CAGCCGCCGCGGUAAUACCGGCGGCCCGAGUGGCGGUCACUAUUAUUGGGCUUAAAGCGUCCGUAGCCGGGUUGGGAAGUCCUCCGGGAAAUCUGGCCGCUUAACGGUCAGAAUGCCGGAGGAUACUCCCAGCCUAGGGAGCGGGAGAGGCCGAGGGUAUUCCCGGAGUAGGGGUGAAAUCCUAUAAUCCCGGGAGGACCACCUGUGGCGAAGGCGCUCGGCUGGAACGCGUCCGACGGUGAGGGACGAAGGCCAGGGGAGCAAACCGGAUUAGAUACCCGGGUAGUCCUGGCGGUAAACGAUGCGGACUUUGUGUCGGACAAGCUAUGAGCUUGUCCGGUGCCGGAGGGAAACCGUUAAGUCCGCCGCCUGGGGAGUACGGCCGCAAGGUUGAAACUUAAAGGAAUUGGCGGG
rnacentral:rRNA from 1 species